rnacentral:rRNA from 1 species
AGGGAAUCUUCCACAAUGGACGCAAGUCUGAUGGAGCAACGCCGCGUGAGUGAAGAAGGUUUUCGGACCGUAAAGCUCUGUUGUUGGUGAAGAAGGAUAGAGGUAGUAACUGGCCCUUUAUUUGACGGUAAUCAACCAGAAAGUCACGGCUAACUACGUGCCAGCAGCCGCGGUAAUCGUAGGUGGCAAGCGUUGUCCGGAUUUAUUGGGCGUAAAGCGAGCGCAGGCGGAAGAAUAAGUCUGAUGUGAAAGCCCUCGGCUUAACCGAGGAAUUGCAUCGGAAACUGUUUUCUUGAGUGCAGAAGAGGAGAGUAGAACUCCAUGUGUAGCGGUGGAAUGCGUAGAUAUAUGGAAGAAUACCAGUGGCGAAGGCGGCUCUCUGGUCUGCAACUGACGCUGAGGCUCGAAAGCAUGGGUAGCGAACAGGAUUAGAUACCCUGGUAGUCCAUGCCGUAAACGAUGAGUGCUAAGUGUUGGGAGGCUUCCGCCUCUCAGUGCUGCAGCUAACGCAUUAAGCACUCCGCCUGGGGGAGUACGACCGCAAG